rnacentral:tRNA from 1 species
UGGGGGAUCGUACAGCGGUAGUACAGCGGACUCUGACUCCGUUAACCUAGGUUCGAAUCCUAGUCCCCCAACCA